rnacentral:rRNA from 1 species
UACGGAGGGUGCAAGCGUUAUCCGGAUUUACUGGGUUUAAAGGGGGCGUAGGUGGGUCUGUAAGUCAGUGGUGAAAUCUCCGAGCUUAACUCGGAAACUGCCAUUGAUACUAUAGGUCUUGAAUUAUCUGGAGGUAAGCGGAAUAUGUCAUGUAGCGGUGAAAUGCUUAGAUAUGACAUAGAACACCAAUUGCGAAGGCAGCUUACUACGGAUUGAUUGACACUGAGGCACGAAAGCGUGGGGAUCAAACAGG